rnacentral:miRNA from 1 species
UAUAAAGAUCCUACAUUGAGUGUAA